GAUUGACCUCGGAUCAGGUAGGGAUACCCGCUGAACUUAAGCAUAUCAAUAAGCGGAGGAAAAGAAACCAACAGGGAUUGCCUCAGUAACGGCGAGUGAAGCGGCAAAAGCUCAAAUUUGAAAUCUGGCCCCUUCGGGGUCCGAGUUGUAAUUUGUAGAGGAUGUUUCGGGUGCGGUCCCGGUCUAAGUCCCUUGGAACAGGGCGUCAUAGAGGGUGAGAAUCCCGUAUGCGACCGGCGGCCAACCCCAUGUGAAACCCCUUCGACGAGUCGAGUUGUUUGGGAAUGCAGCUCAAAAUGGGUGGUAAAUUUCAUCUAAAGCUAAAUACCGGCCAGAGACCGAUAGCGCACAAGUAGAGUGAUCGAAAGAUGAAAAGCACUUUGGAAAGAGAGUCAAACAGUACGUGAAAUUGUUGAAAGGGAAGCGCUUGCGACCAGACCUGUCCGCGGGCGAUCAACCUCUGUUCUCAGGGGUGCACUCGUCCGCGAUCAGGCCAGCAUCGGUUCGGGCGGCCGGAUAAAGGCCUUGGGAAUGUGGCUCCCUUCGGGGAGUGUUAUAGCCCUCGGUGCAAUGCGGCCAGCCCGGACCGAGGACCGCGCUUCGGCUAGGAUGCUGGCGUAAUGGUCGUAAGCGACCCGUCUUGAAACACGGACCAAGGAGUCUAACAUCUAUGCGAGUGUUUGGGUGUCAAGCCCAUGCGCGGAAUGAAAGUGAACGGAGGUGAGAACCCUGAAGGGCGCAUCAUCGACCGAUCCAGAUGUCUUCGGAUGGAUUUGAGUACGAGCAUAGCUGUUGGGACCCGAAAGAUGGUGAACUAUGCCUGAAUAGGGUGAAGCCAGAGGAAACUCUGGUGGAGGCUCGCAGCGGUUCUGACGUGCAAAUCGAUCGUCAAAUUUGGGUAUAGGGGCGAAAGACUAAUCGAACCAUCUAGUAGCUGGUUCCUGCC
rnacentral:rRNA from 1 species